CGCGUAGGCGGCGGGGUAAGUCUGGUGUGAAAUCUCGGAGCUCAACUCCGAAAUUGCACUGGAUACUGCUCUGCUUGAGGGCUGGAGAGGAGAUCGGAAUUCACGGUGUAGCAGUGAAAUGCGUAGAUAUCGUGAGGAAGACCAGUGGCGAAGGCGGAUCUCUGGACAGCUCCUGACGCUGAGGCGCGAAGGCUAGGGGAGCAAACG
rnacentral:rRNA from 1 species